ACAUAUCCUAUUACUCUGUGUUAAUGAAGACUAAAUUAUAUUAAUUUGUGCUGCUUGCAGUUGCUUAAGAAAGAAUUUAUGAAUGUAAAGCAGAAGCCUGUCUCUCUGAGCCUCACAAUGUGUUAGCUUUGCUACCUUCAACAGGAAAAAGACUGUGUGUUCUCUCAGAGGAUGCUUGUUUGAACAGAGGUACUUAUCAACAUUGGUAAGAACAGACUUUUUUUUUUUUUUAAUUUCUUUUCAAUUUGUUUCCUAUGUUUCUCGAUUUUU
rnacentral:lncRNA from 1 species